rnacentral:rRNA from 1 species
UAUGUGAUCGUCUCUCGCAUAUCAAUAAGCGGAGGAAAAGAAACUAACUAGGAUUCCCCUAGUAACGGCGAGUGAAGCGGGAAGAGCUCAAAUUUGAAAUCUUAAAGGGUUUCCUUUACGAAUUGUAGUUUAAAGAAGUGUUUUCUGUUGAGGUUUUGGUAAAAGUUCUUUGGAAUAGGACAUCAUAGAGGGUGAGAAUCCCGUAUUUGACCUUUACUUUCAACUUUGUGAUACACUUUCAAAGAGUCGGAUUGUUUGGGAAUGCGGUCCAAAAUGGGUGGUAAAUUUCAUCUAAAGCUAAAUAUUGGCGAGAGACCGAUAGCGAACAAGUACCGUGAGGGAAAGAUGAAAAGAACUUUGAAAAGAGAGUUAAACAGUACGUGAAAUUGUCAAAAGGGAAGCGUUUGAUACCAGUGUUGUUUUUCUGAAAAUCAAUUAAAGAACUGUUUAUGCUAAGCUGUUUAGACUUUAUCAGCUAUCUGUUUAGUUUUGAGCUUUUCUUUAAUGCACUUUUCAGUUAACAAGUCAACAUCAAUUUCUUUUGCUGUAAAAAAGCUUGAGGAAGGUGGCUUGAGAUUCGUCUUAAGUGUUUAUAGCCUCUUGCCUAUGCAGUCGGAGAGAUUGAGGUCUGCAGCGUAGAUCCUUCGGGGCUAAAUGCAUUUGUGCUAAGUUAUAGCAUUUUAUAGACAACUUGUUGACUAUGAUUUGUCUUGUAGCUUACUCGCUUAUGUUAUUUUACCUACGCUUAGGAUGUUGAUCUCUCACAGUCGAGC